rnacentral:rRNA from 1 species
UAAUNUGCCACAAUGGGACUGAGACACGGCCCAUACUCCUACGGGAGGCAGCAGUAGGGAAUCUUCCACAAUGGACGAAAGUCUGAUGGAGCAACGCCGCGUGAGUGAAGAAGGGUUUCGGCUCGUAAAACUCUGUUGUUAGAGAAGAACGGCUGUGAGAGUAACUGCUCACAGUGUGACGGUAUCUAACCAGAAAGUCACGGCUAACUACGUGCCAGCAGCCGCGGUAAUACGUAGGUGGCAAACGUCGUCCGGAUUUAUUGGGCGUAAAGGGAGCGCAGGCGGUUUAUUAAGUCUGAUGUGAAAGCCUUCGGCUUAACCGGAGAAGUGCAUCGGAAACUGAUAAACUUGAGUGCAGAAAAGGAUAGUGGAACUUCAUGUGUAGCGGUGAAAUGCGUAGAUAUAUGAAGGAACACCAGUGGCGAAGGCGGCUAUCUGGUCUGUAACUGACGCUGAGGCUCGAAAGCAUGGGUAGCAAACAGGAUUAGAUACCCUGGUAGUCCAUGCCGUAAACGAUGAAUGCUAGGUGUUGGGAGGUUUCCGCCUCUCAGUGCCGCAGCUAACGCAUUAAGCAUUCCGCCUGGGGAGUACGACCGCAAGGUUGAAACUCAAAGGAAUUGACGGGGACCCGCACAAGCGGUGGAGCAUGUGGUUUAAUUCGAUGCUACGCGAAGAACCUUACCAGGACUUGACAUCUUCUGCUAAUCUAAGAGAUUAGAC